ACAUGCAAGUCGAACGGUAACAGGAAGCAGCUUGCUGCUUCGCUGACGAGUGGCGGACGGGUGAGUAAUGUCUGGGAAACUGCCUGAUGGAGGGGGAUAACUACUGGAAACGGUAGCUAAUACCGCAUAACGUCGCAAGACCAAAGAGGGGGACCUUCGGGCCUCUUGCCAUCGGAUGUGCCCAGAUGGGAUUAGCUAGUAGGUGGGGUAACGGCUCACCUAGGCGACGAUCCCUAGCUGGUCUGAGAGGAUGACCAGCCACACUGGAACUGAGACACGGUCCAGACUCCUACGGGAGGCAGCAGUGGGGAAUAUUGCACAAUGGGCGCAAGCCUGAUGCAGCCAUGCCGCGUGUAUGAAGAAGGCCUUCGGGUUGUAAAGUACUUUCAGCGGGGAGGAAGGGAGUAAAGUUAAUACCUUUGCUCAUUGACGUUACCCGCAGAAGAAGCACCGGCUAACUCCGUGCCAGCAGCCGCGGUAAUACGGAGGGUGCAAGCGUUAAUCGGAAUUACUGGGCGUAAAGCGCACGCAGGCGGUUUGUUAAGUCAGAUGUGAAAUCCCCGGGCUCAACCUGGGAACUGCAUCUGAUACUGGCAAGCUUGAGUCUCGUAGAGGGGGGUAGAAUUCCAGGUGUAGCGGUGAAAUGCGUAGAGAUCUGGAGGAAUACCGGUGGCGAAGGCGGCCCCCUGGACGAAGACUGACGCUCAGGUGCGAAAGCGUGGGGAGCAAACAGGAUUAGAUACCCUGGUAGUCCACGCCGUAAACGAUGUCGACUUGGAGGUUGUGCCCUUGAGGCGUGGCUUCCGGAGCUAACGCGUUAAGUCGACCGCCUGGGGAGUACGGCCGCAAGGUUAAAACUCAAAUGAAUUGACGGGGGCCCGCACAAGCGGUGGAGCAUGUGGUUUAAUUCGAUGCAACGCGAAGAACCUUACCUGGUCUUGACAUCCACAGAACUUUCCAGAGAUGGAUUGGUGCCUUCGGGAACUGUGAGACAGGUGCUGCAUGGCUGUCGUCAGCUCGUGUUGUGAAAUGUUGGGUUAAGUCCCGCAACGAGCGCAACCCUUAUCCUUUGUUGCCAGCGGUCCGGCCGGGAACUCAAAGGAGACUGCCAGUGAUAAACUGGAGGAAAGGUGGGGAUGACGUCAAGUCAUCAUGGCCCUU
rnacentral:rRNA from 1 species